AUGUCUAGGGGCUCUGAGAGGAGAAUCCCCCACACUGGUACUGAGACACGGACCAGACUCCUACGGGAGGCAGCAGUAAGGAAUAUUGGUCAAUGGGCGGAAGCCUGAACCAGCCAUGCCGCGUGCAGGAUGACUGCCCUAUGGGUUGUAAACUGCUUUUGUCCAGGAAUAAACCUAAAUACGUGUAUUUAGCUGAAUGUACUGGAAGAAUAAGGAUCGGCUAACUCCGUGCCAGCAGCCGCGGUAAUACGGAGGAUCCGAGCGUUAUCCGGAUUUAUUGGGUUUAAAGGGUGCGUAGGCGGCCUAUUAAGUCAGGGGUGAAAUACGGUGGCUCAACCAUCGCAGUGCCUUUGAUACUGAUGGGCUUGAAUCCAUUUGAAGUGGGCGGAAUAAGACAAGUAGCGGUGAAAUGCAUAGAUAUGUCUUAGAACUCCGAUUGCGAAGGCAGCUCACUAAGCUGGUAUUGACGCUGAUGCACGAAAGCGUGGGGAUCGAA
rnacentral:rRNA from 1 species